rnacentral:lncRNA from 1 species
UGGAGAGGCGGUUCUGCCGCAUGCCGGACCGGGGGGCCACCGGCGGAGGUCAGAACGGCGACAGGGAGCGGGCGGCGGCGGAGGACAGAUCAGCUAAAACGUUAAUGGGUGCUGGCAGCGAUGAAGAUGAUAUAGAUGACAUUAUUGAUGAAAUCUGUAAUGACAGCAGCAGCUUUGCCAGAACACCUCUGGUGAGUGCAAGUCUGGAGAAAUGCAGAAAGCGUGA